GGUGGCCUCAGGGGAGUUACCUCCGAUGUGAUAAUUCUCGACGUUGGAGGAAUGACUCGUGGGGAUGUGCAGUGAGUGUGAAGAGAAUUUGGGAAUAUCAAGUAUCCGCCGCAAGGGUCAAUCUUACAACUGAGACAGCAAUUGUAUGGCCUGUUUCUGAAGCCAAGGCUAUACCUAAUUGGCAAAAGGAGUUGGGGACAAACACUUGCAAAUCACUCAGACAAAUUGUGGCUUAAGUCUAACCACAAGCAUCUGCCACCAACGUCAAUCUGACAACCAGGAUAGCAGUUGUAUGGCCAGUAUCUGAAGCCAAGGAUGGCAAAAAGUGUUGGGAGAAACACUUGCAGAAGACUUGACAAAUUUUGCCUUUAUGUCUAGCCCUCGACAUAAGUAGUUUUAUUCACCAUCUGCUUGUUGCAUCUGAAUGAGGUUUGGCUGACAUUUGUGAAUAUCAUUGCCACAUAUAACGUACAUUUUAUCACAGAUUUUCUGUGUUGAUGACUCCAUCUAAAAGUUGGAAGUACAAUCUCUUAUAUCUGUAAUUUUCCCUGUCAUAUAAUACAAACUACCUCGGAUAAGAAUAUUUUUAAUGCAGGGGGUGGUUGACAAGUUCUCUGGAUGCUCUCGUGGAUUUGGUUAUGAGAAGCAAGCAAUGGAUGAGGCUAUUGAGGAAAUGAAUGGACUUAUCAUUGAGGAAAAAGUUCGGCCUCAAGGUUCCAGUAGAGACUGAGAUGGUGAUCGCAGUCGUGAUUGUGGUCAUGAUUGUGGCCCUAGUCGGGACUCUUGUGGUGGACAUGGAGGUGGAGGUGGAGAGUGCUUUAAGUGUGACAAGCCUGGGCAUUGUGGAAGGGAGUGUCCUCGUGAAGGGGGCUGGGGAGGUAGGUAUGGGGGGAGGGAUGACAGGUAUGGAGUUGGUGGUGGUGGGCACUAUGCUCCUGACCGAAAUGGUGAUCGAUCUGGAGUGUGCAAUAGGGAUAGUGGUACUCAAGGAGGAUCAGGAAAUGCUCCUAUAAUCAGGACCGUUCUGGUCCCUAUGAACAUUGUGGUACAAGGAACUUCUGUCCGGGGUAGAAAGAAUACUACUGAUAGCUAUGCACAUAAUUUUUCCAGUUAUAGUAAAGCAGUUGAUUCUGCGCUGAUUGAAAAAUAUUUUGUGCUUGUAGCAGAGCAAUUGGAGGUACUGCUGUUACUCUCUGGAGGUGUCAAAGUCCCUUCUGCUCAAUCUCUUCUUUAUUAUUCUCUGGGUGGACAAAUCUGCUUGAUCAGUCUUUUGUUGUGCGAACUUUGGCUAAAAGAUUCAACUGUUUAAUAUCCGUGAAUGCUUGUUUUGA